CGGGUUAAUCUCCAUCGGCUUGAGCUGCAUCUUCGCGAAGAACGGCAGGAAGCACAAGCCAGAGAAGAGGAAAAACAGAGAGCGGAGCCGCCCAGGCUGCAGCUAUAAAGCACCGGCCUGACGCACUAUGGGUGCUUGCGCAGGGGGAGCAGAGGCAAAACCAAGCGAGGAGAAACGGACCACUGACCCAGUGCAGAAGGGCCUUAAAAGCUAAGGAGCUGUCUCCUUCAGGACCGAGGAUGGCUUCAGUUCCAGGGAUGCUACAGGGGAAUCCAGCGGCCAUGUCCCAUGUCAUGAAGAUACUCAGGCUGCUCACGUGAGGAGGAACUGAAGUCUCUGGCCAACUUCCAGGUAGACACUGAGGACUGCCAAAAAUCACGUGAUCAAGUGUGGAAGCAGAUUUUCCCCAGUCCAGCUUUCAGAUGACUGCAGUCCCAGCUAACAGCUUGACUGUGAUCUCAUGAGAGAAUCCAGCUAAGACGCACCCAGAUGCUUUCCCCAAAGAAGUGGUGAGACAAUAAAUGUUUGUGAUUUUCAGCUGCAAGGGGUAAUUUGUUACACAGCAAUUCAUAACUAAAACAGAUAUUGGUACCUGGAAAUGGGGUGCUGCUAUAAUAAAAACUUAAAAUGUGGGAGAGGCUUUUUAAAGAAAUUGUUUUAAGUCCUUUACCUUUCUAUAUAAAUUUCCUAUUUGCUUGUCAAUUUCUUCUUCUUUUUUAAAAAAUUUAUUUAGGCUGAACUGGGUCUUAGUUGCGGUGUGUGGGAUAUUUGGUUGCGGCAUGUGAACUCUUAGUUGCGUCAUGCAUGAGGGAUCUAGUUCCCCGACCAGGGAUCAAUCCCAGGCCCCCUGCGUUGGGAGUGCGAAGUCUUACCCACUAGACCACUAGGGAAGGCCCUUGUCAAUUUCUUUAUAUAAGUAUGCUAGGAUUUUGGCUGGGAUUGCAUUGAAUCUAUAGAACAACAUAGGGGCCAUUGCCACCUUACCAAAUUGAUUCCUCCAAUCCACAAAUAUGGUAUAUCUCUUCAUUUAAUUAUAAGGUUUUCUUUAACUUUUCUUUGCAAUAUUUUGUAGUUUUAGGUAUAUAGCUUUUACACAUCUCUCAUCAUUUUUAUUCCUGAUAUUUUUAUGCUAUUAUAAAUGUUUUUAAAACUUUCAAUCAUCACCAGUAAAUAGAAAUACAAUUUUUUUGAUGCUACCAUAAUUUUUAAAAAAUUUCAGUUGUUGGGCUUCCCUGGUGGCACAGUGGUUGAGAGUCCGCCUGCCGAUGCAGGGGGCGCGGGUUCGUGCCCCGGUCCGGGAGGAUCCCAUGUGCCGCGGAGCGGCUGGGCCCGUAAGCCAUGGCCGCUAGGCCUUCGCGUCCGGAGCCUGUGCUCUGCAACGGGAGAGGCCGCGGCAGUGAGGGGCCCAUGUACCGCAAAAAAAAAAAAAAAAAAAAAUUUCAGUUGUUCAUUGCUUGUAAAUAGAAAUUCAGUUUCUGUGUGUGUGAGCAUUGGCCUUGUAUCCUGUGACCCUUUUACAUUUCCUUUUUGGUUCUAGUAGCUUCAUUAUAGAUUCAAUUGGAUUAGCUAUAUAAAUCAUCAUAUCAUUUGAAAAUAAAGACAGUUUUACUUCUUUCUAAUCUGAAUUCCUUUAAUAUGUUUAACACAUACAAACACACACACAGGUACAACAACAUGUGUAUGUGCAGCUGGAUGGAAUUUGCUAAAAUUUUGUUAAGAGAUUUUAUACCUAUAUUCUGUGUAGUUCUCUUUUCUUGUCUGUGUUUAUCUGGUUUGGUAUCAGAAUGAUUCUGGCUUCAUAAAAUGAGUUAGGAAGUUUUUCCUCCUUUUCUAUUUUAUGAAAAAGUUUAUUUAGAAGGUUUACUAUUUCUUCUUUUAAAGUUUCAUAAAAUUCAUUAGUGGCUUGAAGUUUUCAAUUUCUUUAAUGUAUAUAGGGCUUUUCAAGUUUUCUUUUUCCUCUU